rnacentral:rRNA from 1 species
AUUGAACGCUGGCGGCAUGCCUUACACAUGCAAGUCGAACGGCAGCGGGCCUUCGGGUGCCGGCGAGUGGCGAACGGGUGAGUAAUGCAUCGGAACGUGCCAUUGAGUGGGGGAUAACGUAGCGAAAGUUACGCUAAUACCGCAUAUUCUGUGAGCAGGAAAGCAGGGGACCGCAAGGCCUUGCGCUCUUUGAGCGGCCGAUGUCAGAUUAGCUAGUUGGUGAGGUAAAAGGCUUACCAAAGGCGACGAUCUGUAGCGGGUCUGAGAGGAUGAUCCGCCACACUGGAACUGAGACACGGUCCAGACUCCUACGGGAGGCAGCAGUGGGGGAAUUUUUGGGACAAAUGGGCGCAAGCCUGAUCCAGCCAUGCCGCGUG